AUGGACAGAGAACAAGCAUUCAGAUAAAGUUAGUCUAAGUGAUUGCAGAGCAGGUUAUGCUGUGUUCGGCCGCUGAUGCAGCCUUCAGGACUGGGUUUGUAUUCCGCAAAGUAGCAGAGGCUGAAUCAGGCUGGCAGCCUGUUUCUUAGUGAGAGCCAAGGGAGGAAGUCAGCUUCCUCACCCCUAUAGCUGCCUCAUUGGGCUGAGGUCACUUCCUUUUGCCCCCCCAGCCCUUCUCCAGGCCUGCCCAAUCAGCAAGGCCCUGUGUGGGCCCCCACCCCUCUUAGAGCACCGUGCAGACUCUGGAUAUAGUUACAAGGCCACGGGGGACUGUCAGUUCUCUCUCCCUUUCUUUCGCUAUCCUCCCCUCUCCCUCCUCCCAUUCUGUUUUUCUGAGUCUCCCGGGUGUUCUUCGCUGCCACCACCCUGUCCCCCUGCACUCCUAAGAAAAUCCUUUAGAUGAGAACUGCUCCUGCGUCUGCUCCCUCUAAGCAUCCCUGACACCAGCAAACCUGAUGUUGGAGUUAUGUGUUAAUAAACCAACAAGAACUGCUGUUCAGCAGACUCACUGCUGUACACACAAGCCACUGCAGGAUGCUGGAUGGCAGCAGAAGAGAAAGCUUCGGGCCUGUAAACAGUAGAAAUUGAGACAUCGUUCUACUUGGCAUGCUGAGAUCGAUUUUCAGGUCACAUGCAGGAGGACAGAGGGAAGAGAAGACGCAAAAAAAAAAAAUAAAAAAAAACGGCUGGGAAGAGACUUGUGAGUCACUUCCUAUUUAGAAAGAAAAUGUUUUGCAAGCUUCUCUGCAGACACAGAGCUCCAACAGUGGUUUAGAUUCUCGCAACAAAGUAGAGAGCGAAGAGAUGUGAAUCAGGACAGACAGCCCCUGACUGCCAUACCACAGCGCCUGGUGUCAAACAGAUGUGCAACUUGGCAGCUAUGCUCCCCAGAAAACAGAGAACCCAUGGAUUUCAGGGUGGUUUUUAGUCGUGCUACCCUCCCCAUCUUUCAGCACUCCUCCUGUCCCCCCAAACAGUCUGAACUCCCCCACACUGUGCCCCUGCAGUCACCCUCCCUCAUCACCUCCACACAGGGGUCCCCUGACAGGUAAUCUUGUCCCUCGAAUGUGAAAUCUCCGACAGCGAUGCCCCGCGCUUUUACCCCCUGCCUCCUCGGCUGAUGGGUAAAUUGGAAUGGCGCACCCUGCUGGCGCGGAGAGCUCUGAACAGACAGCAGUACACACACGCUGGGGCGCCCCCCUCACGCGCUUCUGUCUAAUAUAGUGGACAUGCACACUCGUUUUCGAGCCGCGAUAUCUAUGCACAGACACAUGUCCAUGCAUGUAUGUGCGCCGGGGAACACAAAAAGCCAAACGCUCCAAAGCUUUAGGUAAACCACAUACGCAGCCUCAUAAACACAAAUACGUACAGACGCUCUGUGGGUUCAGUCUCAUCUGCAUACAGAUUGGAUACAAAAUAAAAAAAAAAGGCACAGAUACUGAGCUGAGUCAAUAUAUGUUGAAAUUUAAAUAAGCAUCAUCUGAAAUGGCUCAGCUUGUGUCCUUUUUCCAGAAACUGCACCUGAUUUGCGUUGCCAUGGUUUCUAUUAUGUGUACACCGUUGGGGAGAAGAGACAAAAUAGAUGAAAAAGUAGAAACUAGAGAAUAGAUGUGCAUGUUUUUUUGGCGCCCCAUGCGUGGAUAUGGUAAGCACUACUAACUCUGACGUUUAUAACAAGGACACUGUAGCAUCAAUUUAUUACUAAGAGAGGAGGUUUGUUUUUUUUUCUUUGAAUCAGCCAUGGUUUCUAAGAGGCUUGCCAUGGCUGUCCAAAACUUUGCCACCCUCUCUCUCUGCAGUCAAUGUUAUGAAGCGUGCAUCUAUGGUUGAGUCCACCCUCAAAUCGCAGGGACAUCCUAAAUAGUCGGUGUGACCUAACGGGGCUAAAGAUCACUGCAGCAGAAGCCACAGAGGCCUCCCUGUCAAAGACGGUGCAUUUGCGGUGGGAUGGGGGAGGCAGGGGUGAAGAGAAGCCAGAGGGAGUGAGCCGGAGACAUGACAUACAUUUCAUUAUGUUUAAACCAACUGUGGGUUCAACUCAGAGCCUUGGAUUUCCAGCCCUGUCUCAGAGGAUGGAGUAAGUGGAGGUGUAAGAGAAUAGUGUUUUACAAAAAACACAAUAGGUAGGUGGACAAAGGCAGGCAGCUGGACUAAUUGCUCAGGAGCUUGUAGGGAUAUUUUUCUAAGUACCUCUGUUUGAAGCACAACUGACAAGAUAUUUGUGGAAAAUGUCACCAUAGAAAAGAUAAUAAGACGUAAAGUGUGAUAGCACUAAAAACAAAUAAAUGUUUUUUGUGGGGGGUUUUUUUUCUCCAUAAAAUAGGCACAUAUACGUAUUAAGACACAGUGAACUUCUCCACUUUUAUCCAAAGACAAACCUCUAUCGUCAUCUUUCUAAAAUAAUGGCUUAUGUCACUCUCAGCACCUUUUUCUUUCCAAUAGAUGAUUUAGACAAUUGAAAAAAAAUAUAUUUUUGGCGAAAAAUGACUUAGGCCAUAAUUUUAGGAAGGUGAUGGUAAGUGGCCUAAUGCUACAGAAAUCAGUAAACAAUUUUAAAUUGUAUGCAGAAUUACAAAUGCACAUUUAAAAGAAAUGUUUAAAAAAAAGGUGUAGUAUGCUUCUUCUCUUUUGCCUCUUUACCAAAAUGAUAUUCAAUGAAACUAUCUUCAGCAGCUCACCUGUUUAUUACUGCAUGGUAGUAUAAAUUCAUCUGUGAAGAUUUAAGAGGUUUGUCACAGAACAUUAGAGAACAAACUGCACCAUUAAGACUAAGGAACAUAGAAGAUGGGUUAGGAAUAGAGAUGGGGAUAAUGGUUAGGCUAUAAAACAACAUCACACAGUAUUUUGAAAAUCAACAUGACAUCCAUAAGUUGUAAACAAAUCUAGCCUUUAUGUAAGAAAAGAGAAACAAAGACAUUUUUGAAAGAAUGCCAUAAAAAGUCUCAGUUGCAAUAAACUAUGCAGGUCACGUGGUUUCAAUCAAUGGAAAUAGAUGGUCUGGAC